GGAUACUGUCCGGCUUGGGGGCGAGAGAGGCCGACGGUAUUUCCGGGGUAGGGGUGAAAUCCUAUAAUCCCGGAAGGACCACCAGUGGCGAAGGCUGUCGGCUAGAACGCGCCCGACGGUGAGGGAUGAAAGCUGGGGGAGCGAACCGGAUUAGAUACCCGGGUAGUCCCAGCUGUAAACGAUGCAGGCUAGGUGUUAGGGCGGCCACGUGCCGCUCUAGUGCCGCAGGGAAGCUGUUAAGCCUGCCGCCUGGGGAGUACGGCCGCAAGGCUGAAACUUAAAGGAAUUGGCGGGGGAGCACCACAAGGGGUGAAGCUUGCGGUUUAAUUGGAGUCAACGCCGGAAAUCUCACCGGGGGCGACAGCAGGAUGAAAGCCAGAUUAAAGGUCUUGCCAGACGAGCUGAGAGGAGGUGCAUGGCCGUCGCCAGUUCGUGCCGUGAGGUGUCCUGUUAAGUCAGGCAACGAUCGAGACCCGCAUCCCCCGUUGCUAUUGGCGAACAGCCAAGCACACUGGGGAGACUGCCGCCGACAAGGCGGAGGAAGGAGCGGGCCACGGCAGGUCAGUAUGCCCCGAAUCUCCCGGGCCACACGCGAGCUGCAAUGGCAGGUACAAUGGGUUCCGACCUCGAAAGGGGGAGGCAAUCCCCAAAGCUUGCCGUAGUUGGGAUCGAGGGUUGAAACUCACCC
rnacentral:rRNA from 1 species